GGCUAGCCCAAGUGCCGUCAUGUUUACAACUGAUUGAUCACAAGCAAUUGCAAAUUUCUUUGUUCCUUCUCCACUCUCACUGCUUCAUUUGACUAGCCUUAA
ensembl:misc_RNA Y_RNA Y RNA